GUGAAUCAUCAAAUUUUUGAACGCAAAUUGCACUUCCUGGUAUUCCGCGGAGUAUGCCUGUUUGAGGGUCAUUAGAACUAAAGUCGAAGCUACUCUCUUUUUUUAAAGGGUGAUCGUGUCAGAAUUGAUCCGUCUUUCAUAUGUUAAUUCUUGUCCAAUUGGCUUGAAAUUCAUCCAUCAG
rnacentral:misc_RNA from 1 species